CCAGCUACUCAAGGACUGUCGGAGCUCCAGGCUUGCAUCAGAGGCGCUUCCAAGCUCUAUUUGCACCGAACGGCGAGGCGCAAGAACUACUAACUCGCUCGGCUGCUCGCCUUCUGGAGGCACCCAGAGGGGCCGACACUGGCCGGGCCGGUGGAGCUCUGUGGAAAUGAGCAGCCCCGAUGCUGGAUACGCCAGUAGCGACGACCAGGCGCAAGGACGGUCCUCUCUCCCUCCCCUUAUGAUGCAGUGUCAGUGGGCAGAAUCGCUGAGCCCCUUAACCGAUGGCAAAGGCAAAGGCGAAGCGGCGGCCGAUCAAGUACAGCAGGGAGCCUCGGGCCGGGCCAAAGGGGAGACCCGCAUUCGACGUCCCAUGAAUGCUUUCAUGGUCUGGGCGAAGGACGAACGCAAGCGGCUAGCGCAGCAGAAUCCGGAUCUGCACAACGCGGAGCUUAGCAAGAUGCUGGGACAGUCGUGGCGGGCGCUGACCCAGGAGGAGAAGCGCCCUUUCGUAGAGGAGGCGGAGCGGCUGCGGUUGCAGCAUAUGCGGGACCACCCCCACUACAAGUACCGGCCGCGGCGCAGGAAGCAAGUCAAGCGCCUUAAACGCAACGACGGCGCAGUGGACGGUGGGAGCGGCUUCCUCCCAGUUCAGCAUCACCAGUUGGGCCUGCCCGGAGAGGCGGGAAAUGGAGGCAGCUGCGAGGGGCUCGGCCUUUCUUACGCAGAGCAGCCGAAUUACGCCGGCGGGAGCUUCCAUUACCGGGACUGCGCGCCGCUCCCGCUGUCGGCUUUGGGCACCCAUUUUGGGAACUACAGCCUGCCUACGCCGGAGCCCGAAUCCCAGGGGGGCGCCUGCGCAGAACCUGUGUUCUUCCCGCCGCCCCACCCUGAGGAAGGCGGCUGCCUGCUGGGCCCCUACGGCUACCCGACGCCGCCCGGGUCCGAGUAUCCGUGCAACGGCCUCCCUGCCGGCGGCCACGGUAACAACGGCGGUAGCCCCAAUGUCGGCGUCAGUCUUUUCCGUAGUCGCUUCCCUGUGCCCUUGGCCUCCUACCCUUCCUCGCCCGCCCCGGACCACGCACAGCAACAGCCACCCCGUCGCCGAGCGGAGGCCCCCGCGGGGCUUGAGCAGCUGCCCGCUCACGACGUGGACUUGCUGGCAGAUGUGGACCGCGCCGAGUUUGAGCAGUACCUGCCCUUCGCCUGCCGCCCGGGCGACCUGGGGCUCUCCUAUGCGAGCCACGAAGGCCCGGAGGCUAACGCCGCUGCCUAUUACUGCGCGGCCGCAGGCGGGGCCGGAACGUAUCCCGAGUUGACUACCAGAUCCAAGAAUCAGCAAAAAUUGGGAUAGCAACCAAGAGAAAACCUGGUUUCUUGACUUUUUGCAGCUCUAAUCAGGUCGGGCAGAGUAUGGUCAACUGAACCAAAUGAAAAUGCUGUUGAUAAUUUGAAAACAAGGCAGCUAGAAUGUAUUGUGAUGGAUAUGAGUUGGAGUCUACCUUGCAGCAAACAAAUAAAUCCUGGUAACACAAUCCCUCAAAGAGCAAGACUGAGAUUAUACAAUAUUUGUGUAGUAAACUUAUGGAUAUGCAGAUAAGUGAUUUCCCAUCUUGUUGCCUGUAACCUGGGUAUGAAGACUUACUCAGGAGUAUGUUCCAUUGAUCAGGAUUUAAAUUUUGUAAUAAACAUGAUUAACUUUUUCAA